rnacentral:lncRNA from 1 species
CUCUCUCAGAUGACUAAAGGACAGGAAUGAAGUGCUUCGUGCUGCAUCCUGCCUUCAACGACAGGAAACUGAGUUUGUUACACAAAUCUCUGGAAGAUAUGGAGCUAGGAAGAGCCGUUGCCGUCUGCAGCUACUGAACACAGUGUGAUAGCACACUUUAUCUGCCAGAGCUCAGUUCCCAACUGUACUAAGGUUUUUAAAGGCACAUUGAAGUUGCAGCCAGCAAACUUCAGUAAGCAACACAGCAACUCCUAAAAUCGCCCUAUUUGGGGAGGGGGAGGCUAAGACUUAUUAACUUCAUUAUAUUAUCGCCAACAGUGUUUAUGUCUUUCAAUUUAUGUCUUAUUAAAUAUUCAUUAUUUUUAAACCC